rnacentral:rRNA from 1 species
AUUGAACGCUGGCGGCAUGCUUUACACAUGCAAGUCGAACGGUAAUAGGCCUUCGGGUGCUGACGAGUGGCGAACGGGUGAGUAAUGCAUCGGAACGUACCCAGAGGUGGGGGAUAACGCAGCGAAAGCUGUGCUAAUACCGCAUGUGAUCUGAGGAUGAAAGCGGGGGACCGAGCAGCAAUGUUUGGCCUCGCGCCUUUGGAGCGGCCGAUGUCGGAUUAGCUAGUUGGUGGGGUAAAGGCCUACCAAGGCGACGAUCCGUAGCUGGUCUGAGAGGACGACCAGCCACACUGGGACUGAGACACGGCCCAGACUCCUACGGGAGGCAGCAGUGGGGAAUGUUGGACAAUGGGCGCAAGCCUGAUCCAGCAAUGCCGCGUGCGGGAAGAAGGCCUUCGGGUUGUAAACCGCUUUUGGCAGGAACGAAACGGUGUCCGCUAAUACCGGGCGCUAAUGACGGUACCUGCAGAAUAAGCACCGGCUAACUACGUG